CUCUGUCAUUAUCCAGCCAUGAACAUGGGAUGUCAAACCAGGCUGCUCUUGUGACUUGAUUUGACAAAUGGAAUCUGGCAGAAGUGACAUUGGAUGUCUUCUGAGGCCAGGCUUAUAGAGGCUAGGGAGCUUCUGCUUUUGGUCUCUUGUAACCCUAAGACUCCCAUGCUGUGAACAAUUAUGCUCACGAAGAAAGACUUCUGCAGAGAAAGGCCCAGGUAAGCUCAGUCUUAGUCAACUGCCAGUGGACUGUACCCAGGCAAGUCCAGAAGAGAAUUCCUCAGCCAACCUAUAGAAUCAUGACAAAUAAUAAAUUGCGGUUGUUUAAA
rnacentral:lncRNA from 1 species